rnacentral:lncRNA from 1 species
UUCUCAUCAAAGAGUGUUCUAUAGGGAAGAGAUAAAACCUAAACAGUCCCGGAAGCUGAGACAAGAAACUGAAAAAAAAAGGAAAGUGAGCAACAAGAUAAUGUAAGUCACAACUGAGCCAAUUAAGGAGCAGGAGAUGCAGCAGCAUGUCCCAAACAAAACUGAUUGGAGGUCAAGUGUGGACAACCAGAGCAAGUUCUUGCACAGCUAAUGUAUCCCCAGGUGUGAACUGAGUAACAUGAAGAAAGGCAUCCUCCUGCCACCUCCUGAAUCAGUAGAAAAAGACAAAAGCUUUUGAUGGGAUUAUGCUGGAGUCCAUGUCAUGGAACCAAACUGGAAAUUUUCUGGCAUGAUUUUAGGCGUUUUGCAUGAACUCUAAUUCAUUGAAAUGUAACAACCUUAUAAGGUCCCUGCAGGACCAUGUCACCCAAAAUAAUGCAUCAGAUAUAAGGACUUGUCUUUUACUCAUUUACUUCUUGGACCUACUUAGAAAACUGUGGCAGCACUGUUUUGUUAUUAUUGUCUUAAGUGCAUGAUCCAACUUGGAAAGAUUCAACUGGCUCAUGGUUUGUACCGGGGGAACCAAGCCCAUGGUUGGGAUCCAGGGGUCCCUCCAGUCUCCUGUUCCAUGGUCGCACACACCUUGAGGGCACCCACACGGUUUGAUCGUCUCCUUAUAUUGCUGCUGGCAGACUCGUGACGGGGUUUCUCAUUCAUCUGGGUGUACAAGAAGCAUGGUGCCAGCAUCUGCUCAGCUUCUGAUGAGGGCUCUGGGAAGCUUUUACUCAUGGAGGAAGGCAAGGGGAACCAGCAUGUCACAUGAUGAGAAAGGAAGCAUGAGAGAGAGGUGCCAGACUCUUCAACAACCAGAAGAGAAAGUCAGAGAGAAUCAAAGCAUGUGAAGAGAGACCUCACGCAAGGAGGUCUAGGAGCCUAGAGUGAUCUUCAGCCAACAGUCAAAAAGAUAACUGGGACAACCACAAGGAACUGACUUCUAUAAGAGAAAUGAGCCUGGAAAAGGACUCCAAGCUUCAGAUGAAAAUGUAGUUGGCUGACACUUUGAUUUUAGUCUUGUGAAACCCUAAGCAGAGAAUCCAAGUAAGUCCCCCUGAACUUCUCACCUAAAGAACAAUGAGUUAAUAAAUAAG